GAUGAACGCUGGCGGCGUGCCUAAUACAUGCAAGUCGAGCGGAAAGGUCUCUUCGGAGAUACUCGAGCGGCGGACGGCUGAGUAACGCGUAGGAACGUACCCCAAACUGAGGGAUAACUACUCGAAAGAGUAGCUAAUACCGCAUGUGCUCUACGGCGUAAAGCUUCGGCGGUUUGGGAACGGCCUGCGUAAGAUUAGCUUGUUGGUGAGGUAAUGGCUCACCAAGGCGACGAUCUUUAGCUGGUCUGAGAGGAUGAUCAGCCAGACUGGGACUGAGACACGGCCCAGACUCCUACGGGAGGCAGCAGUAGGGAAUUUUCCACAAUGGGCGAAAGCCUGAUGGAGCAACGCCGCGUGCAGGAUGAAGGCUUUCGGGUCGUAAACUGCUUUUAUAUGUGACGAUUAUGACGGUAGCAUAUGAAUAAGGAUCGGCUAACUCCGUGCCAGCCGCCGCUGUAA
rnacentral:rRNA from 1 species